UUUCCGUAGGUGAACCUGCGGAAGGAUCAUUAUCGUAUAACCGAGGUGCGAGGGCUGUCGCUGACCCGAAAGGUCGUGCACGCCCGAGUGCCCUCACACACAUCCAUCUCACCCCUAUGUGCACCACCGCGUGGGUCCCCCUUUGGCUUGUUCGGAGGGGGGCUUACGCUUUCACACAAACUUUGUAUGCAGUGUAGAAUGUAUUUUUUGUUUUUGCGAUCACGCAAUCAAUACAACUUUCAACAACGGAUCUCUUGGCUCUC
rnacentral:misc_RNA from 1 species